GCAUUGGUGGUUCAAUGGUAAAACUCUCACCUUCCACGCAGGAGACCCCGGUUCAAUACACGGUCAAUGCA
rnacentral:tRNA from 1 species